UGGGGAAUUUUGGACAAUGGGCGAAAGCCUGAUCCAGCAAUGCCGCGUGUGUGAAGAAGGCCUUCGGGUUGUAAAGCACUUUUGUCCGGAAAGAAAUCCUUGGCUCUAAUACAGUCGGGGGAUGACGGUACCGGAAGAAUAAGCACCGGCUAACUACGUGCCAGCAGCCGCGGUAAUACGUAGGGUGCAAGCGUUAAUCGGAAUUACUGGGCGUAAAGCGUGCGCAGGCGGUUUGCUAAGACCGAUGUGAAAUCCCCGGGCUCAACCUGGGAACUGCAUUGGUGACUGGCAGGCUAGAGUAUGGCAGAGGGGGGUAGAAUUCCACGUGUAGCAGUGAAAUGCGUAGAGAUGUGGAGGAAUACCGAUGGCGAAGGCAGCCCCCUGGGCCAAUACUGACGCUCAUGCACGAAAGCGUGGGGAGCAAAACAGGAUUAGAUACCCCUGGUAGUCCACGCCCUAAAACGAUGUCAACUAGUUGUUGGGGAUUCAUUUCCUUAGUAACGUAGCUAACGCGUGAAGUUGACCGCCUGGGGAGUACGGUCGCAAGAC
rnacentral:rRNA from 1 species